UUUCUUAUAAUGUAUACAAAAAUAAACUCCAGAUGGGUUAAAAUUUUACAUGUAAAAAAAAAUUCAUAUAGUAUCAAAUGUAGGAGCCUGCAUAUACGAUGUCAAAAGGUUGGAAAAUAUUAACCAAGAUUGAAAACCCAGAAGCUACAGUAGGAAAAAAGAUAUAAAUAUUGACUAUAUAGAAGUUAAAACAUAGGCUCGGCGCCGGUAGCUUAGUGAGUAGGGCGCCGGCCACAUACACCGAGGCUGGCAGGUUCGAGCCCUGCCUGGGCCUGCUAAACAACAAUAACAACUGCAACCAAAAAGUAGCCAGGCAUUGUGGCAGGCACCUGUAGUCCCAGCUACUCAGACAACUGAGGCAAGAGAAUGGCUUAAGCCCACGAGUUUGAGGUUGCUGUGAGCUGUGAUGCUAUGGUACUCUACCAAGGGAGACAUAAUGAGACUCUCUCAAAAAAAAAAAGAAGAAGAAGUUAAAACAUUUCCGGGUGAGCUCUUUCUCAGCUGGCUCUCUGCAAGGAGAAGGCCAUGUUCAGCUCCAGCGUCAAAAUCAUGAAGACCAACGGCGAGGAUCCGGACAAGUUCGAGUCAGGCAUUUUCCAGGGCUUGCUGGAGCUGGAGAUGAACUCGGACCUCAAGGCUCAGCUCUGGGAGCUGAAUAUAACCACAGCCAAAGAAAUUGAAGUCGGUGGUGGUCGGAAAGUUAUCAUAAUCUUUGUUCCCGUUCCUCAACUGAAAUCUUUCCAGAAAAUGGAAGUCCAGCUAGUACAUGAAUUGGAGAAAAAGUUCAGUGGGAAGCACCUUGUCUUCAUUGCCCAGAGGAGAAUUCUGCCUGAGCCAACUCGAAAAACCAAAAAAAAAAAUAAGCAAAAGCAUCCCAGGAGCUGCAAUCUGAGAGCUGUGCACGGUGCAAUCCUUGAGGACUAGGUCUUCCCAAGUGAAAUUGUGGGCAAGAGAAUCCGUGUGAAAUUGGACAGCAGCCGACUCAUAAAGGUGCACUUGGACAAGACCCAGCAGAACAACAUGGAGCACAAGGUUGAAACUUUUUCUGGUGUCUAUAAGAAGCUUAUGGGCAAGGAUGUUAAUUUUGAAUUCCCAGAGUUUCAAUUGUAAACAAAAAUGACUAAAUAAAGUAUAUUCACAGU